UUCACAUUGGAAGGACUUGCGUUCCACUGUUCAUCUGAAGUAAUUAUAAUUCUCUGGUUGGAACGUUAUACAAGGUAUUUGUAAACAACAUUCUAAAGACUGAUUCAAUACAUUGUUUGACAUGUUUCUACUGACUGUUACGGAACUUUUGGACAUUUCGUCACGUUAUAGUGGACGCGCUUUGUGACUUUGGAAUUGUUUACCAAACGCUCUAACCAAAGUAGCUAAUUGGACAUAAAUAACGGACAUUUUCGAACAAAUCAUGCAUUUAUUGUGGACCUGGGAUUUCUAGGACUGCAUGCUGAUGAAGUUCAUCAAAGAAUGCAGGGGACAUUGAGAGCUACCUCAAUAUCAUCAACAUGCUGGAUGAGCUGCUUUCAGCCGACCGUCGUAUUGGGAUGAAGGCAGAGAAGGCCGAGGCUGUGCUGCUGACACUGACUCUGCUGAAACGGAAUCUCAAAUAUACCAGGAGGACGGCAGCCUGCCUUUGGGUACUCCAGGUCUUCUUCUCUGUCAAGUCCUGUACUGCACUCAAGUCAAGCCUCUGAACACCUCAACUCAUGCCUCAUACCCUCAUUCAAUCACUGCUGUGAACCCUUCCUUAGACGGUAUAGGUUGCCCUCUCAUUCCCUAUAAUAUUGUGCUAUAAAUGUCUUUAUUAAAUGCUUUAUGUUAAAAUAAUUACUCUUUGAAGAUUUUUGAAAUACAUUUUGACAUCUCCGUGCGUUCUGUGCCUAUACCGUGGGUCUCCCAUCCUCCUCAGUUUUUCAAGUCAGCAGACUCCUCUGUAACUAAUGUAACUAAUGUAAAUGUAAAUUAAACACUCCAGUUAAAUUAAACACUCCAAUUAAAUAAUCUAGUGUUUAAUUGCUAAAUUGUAAUUAUUUGGCCACUAUAGCCUAUUUAUUGCCUUACCUCUUUUAUCUUACCUCAUUUGCACACACUGUAUAUAGACUUUUUUCUAUUGUGGUAUUGACUGCAUGUUUGUUUAUUCCAUGUGUAACUCUGUGUAUUGUUGUUUGUGUCGCAC
ensembl:lncRNA